UCCGAAGGGGGCUAUCGUUGUUCGGAAUUACUGGGCGUAAAGCGCACGUAGGCGGAUAUUUAAGUCAGGGGUGAAAUCCCGCAGCUCAACUGCGGAACUGCCUUUGAUACUGGGUAUCUUGAGUAUGGAAGAGGUAAGUGGAAUUCCGAGUGUAGAGGUGAAAUUCGUAGAUAUUCGGAGGAACACCAGUGGCGAAGGCGGCUUACUGGUCCAUUACUGACGCUGAGGUGCGAAAGCGUGGGGAGAAAACAGG
rnacentral:rRNA from 1 species